ACCUUGAUCUGCUUCCCGACUCAACAGAACCUAGUAAAGAAAAAUGCAGUAGCAUGAAGCAGAGAGCUUGGGGUUCCGCAAGCUCUCCCCCGCUUCUACUGCAGCCCCACUCGUACUCACAGAGAAAAGGCACCUCUGAUCUUAACCUGUAGAUAGUCCAAACUGCUAAGACAAACCCAGGGCUCAGGGCAGUGACAAGAAAUGGAGAACCCAGAAAAAAAAAUAACAAAUAAGAUAAGGGUAAAAAAGAAAAAAAAAAAAAAAGAAAUGAGGACACCAGGCAAGGAGGCGAAAAGCUCACCAACUGAAGCCGUGGAAGUGACUGAAAGCUGCCUCUUUUGUCGUAUGCCAGUCAGCAUUUCUC
rnacentral:lncRNA from 1 species